rnacentral:rRNA from 1 species
GACGUACGCUGGCGGCGCGCUUAACACAUGCAAGUCGAACGGAAAGGCCUGCUUUCCCUUGUGGAUUGCGGGUACUCGAGUGGCGAACGGGUGAGUAACACGUGAGUGAUCUGCCCCCAACUUGGGUAUAAGCCUGGGAAACUGGGUCUAAUUCCCGAUAGGACUGCAGGGUGGUGCCUGUGGUGGAAAACGAUUUUCUAGUGGUUGGGGAUGAGCUCGCGGCCUAUCAGCUUGUUGGUGGGGUAAUGGCCUACCAAGGCGGCGACGGGUAGCCGGCCUGAGAGGGUGGACGGCCACAUUGGGACUGAGAUACGGCCCAGACUCCUACGGGAGGCAGCAGUGGGGUAUAUUGCACAAUGGGCGGAAGCCUGAUGCAGCGACGCCGCGUGGGGGAUGACGGCCUUCGGGUUGUAAACUCCUUUCGACCGCGAGGAAGCCACCUGGUUGGAAGGGUGGUGACGGUAGUGGUAGAAGAAGCACCGGCUAACUACGUG